GACGCGCAUUGUACAACUUUAUUCGCUACCGGCACAUACAACAUACGCUACCGGCGCAUAGCGGAUUGCUGCUCUUAACUGUCACAUUGGCGAUCCAAACCCUAUACAAGAAUGGGAGGUAAUGCUCUUGAAAUUCUUGCAUGCGUAUUUACAUUGUAAUUCUUGAAUGAAAAAAUCAAGAACUUGAAGUUAAGGAACUUGAUGGUAGUUUUCAAGAAUGCGUGGGAGUUGCUGGGUUUUUGAGGGGUCUUGUGAAUUUAAGGAGGCACAAAGGUUCUUGAAUAGUUGGUUUUCAACAGCACCUCAAGGCUGGUGCGACCAAGUUUGUAUACCAUGAGGAUGUGGAGGUUUUGUCUUCCCUGGAAGUUCAAUUGAACUUGUUUUCUCUCGAGCUGAUGAAACUGUUGCUUGGCACGGCACCUCAGGAAAAGGAAAAAAAAUAUAACCCAAAAAUGCUCUUUGCAAGCAAUCAACUUGAAUAAUGUUAGCCUAAAAAGGCAAGAAUGAGGCAGCGGAGAGCAUGGUAUUUCUAUCAAGGAUCAUCUGAAGUUGUACCUUCUUUUGAAGAAUCAUCUGAAGUUGUACCUUCUUUUGAAGGAUCACCUGGAGUUGUACUUUCUUGUUGGACAACUUCUUGAGUCCCCUCCACUAAGGAUUGGGUUCAUGCCUGAAAUAGCAAUUGCUACUCAACUAUGCUGAUCAAAUUCUAAAUUGGGGUUGGGGGAUCUGCAAUAAUCAUUCUCAAGCUUCAAGAUCAUUUACCAGUUCUCUGAAGAAUGUAUUUGCAACCCACAGCUUGCUGAUACAGAUGGAUCAUCAAUAGUUCCCCUAUUAGUGAAUAAACAAGGCUUGCGGUUGUGAUUGGGAGCAUUAAGUGAAUGCCUCCGGCUAUUUGGAGCUUAACCCAGUUUCCACCAGGUAUGUGUUGCUAUAGGCAUUGGGACCUGCUAUGGUAAGGUGGAUGGCAAUGGAUCAUCUCAAGUUGCACUUUCUUUUGAAGAAUCAUCUGAUGUUUAUUUCUUUUGAUGGAUCAUCUGAAGCUGCACUUUCUUUUGAAGGAUCACCUGAAGUUGUACUUUCUUGUUGGGCAACUUCUCGAGUCCCCACAAAGGACAAGGUAAGGAUCCACCAAUGUUAGCUUUUAAUUGUAGGAUAAGGCUGUGAUGAUGACAAAUGAAGUUGUAUAGGGUUGGGUCUGGCAUUGGAGCUACCCUUAUCUUGGGGAGGCAACCCGUUAAGGCAUCUCCGUUUUGCAGCUGAAGUCUGCAGCCAUUGCACUUGUUUUGUCUCCUUUUGCCUGGUUAAAUCUGAGCCUUGGGAGAAAGAAUUAACUGAAAGACACUCGAAGUCUUCUGAAUAUCCUUCUGUUAGGUUAGCCUAAAAAGGCAAGAAUGAGGCAGCAGAGAGUAUGGUAUUUCUAUCAAGGGUGGUUUCCUUCUCUUUAAACUUUUCCUAUGAGUACAUUUUUUAAAACAAAUCAACAGCUCUUAAAAAAGAAAGAGAAACAGAGAAUACACUUGAGUUUCUGGGUUUUUUUGCAUUUUUGCAUUCUUAGACGUAUGCUCAUAAGGCGAUACACACAACUAUGCUACAACAGCUUGACUCUGAAAAUUAUUAAAGAGGCAGUGAUGAUUUUUGGGCUAACUAAAUUCGGGCAUUGAGAUUACUCAACCCGUAUCAUUGCGGGGAAACCUGGUAUGGCCUGUAAUUGAGACGCAUAAAUCACACAUGCAAUCGUGUAUUCCAGCCAUGGCGUGGUAUGCUUCUCUUUGGCCUUACAUAACACAAAUCUGAGCCUCAAUUUGCUAAAGAGAAGGGAAAAGGGUCAAAUUUACCUCUUUUUAUGCACAAGGGGAAAUAUCAUUUCCAUGAUUAAUAUAGGAGAUAUUGAACCCACGCACGUCCUUCUGAUUAGCAAUUUUGAUGCUUUUAAUUCGUAAUGUGUCGUCAUCUUUUGAUAAGUACCAGCUCAAGAAUGAGGCAUUCAAACGAAAUGUUGGAUUAUUGAGUGGUGGUUGCCUCCCUCCUCUUGUAAACCCUAAUUCUAUUUUUGAAGUUUUGCAUUUCUAUGCAUCUUUUAUAGCUUCACGUUUAGAUUCCUCCCACUGAUGGAUAUAUGUCUGUCUAAAUGUGGAAAAAAACAUGACAAUCACUUCUUCUCAGGCUGGUUAUUCCAUUUUUAGGUUUCAAUAACACUGUUUAUAUCAGUUCUGUGUUUAAUCUUGUUGAAACCAAGAAGGAUUUUUGAGGGUUUAACCCUUUGAAGUGUCAUUGUUGUGUAUUGUCUCUUAAGGUCCAUUUUAUGUUUUAUUUGGGUUGAUUAUAGCCGGUGAAUUAUGAAUUGUAACUUUAAGGGAAGAUCUUUUUUGUUCAAACAUUCAAAUGAGAGGCUCUGAUAUCUAUUUUUGACGUUUCUUUGUUGGAAAUUGUUACUAAUACUCAUUGGAGGCCAAACGGACAUUGUAAGAAUUUGAAGGUUAAAUUUCUUUGAGUUUUAGUUGUUAGUAUUCAUUAAGAUAGCUUUCAAACAAAUACCCUAGUCUUUGUUCUUGCCAUUGUUUACAGGAUGACAAGUGUUUGUACCUUGGAAUUUGAUGAUUGUACACAAUAUAUUGGCACACCAGGUAAUUCUGUAUAAGGAUACCUGAUACAUGCUGGUUUUGUCUUCUGAGGUAUCCGGUGCUUCUGAGCUCAUCAUGAUUUGGCUUUGCACAGCUCAAUUUUUUUCACUCACCAAACCACCCUUAUGGUGAAAUUACACGACCUUCCAUUUUCCAUAUUAUUAGUAAUCUUUCCAGUAUAACUCAUAAGGGCAAUCAAACACGUUCUCUCUUGAGCUGAAUAGUUGUUGCUUGGCAUGGCAUCUCAUGUGGGUAUGUGAUUGAAGAAGUACCAUUUAUUGGUGUUUUUUUUAUCUCUAAAAGCUAACUAAUGCUUGCAGCCAUGACAUGUUUCUAAGCUUUUGAGCUGAUUCAUGUUUUGAGUUGAGUUUCUUUCCCAUCUCUCACCGGACCACCCUUUUCGUGAUAUUACACAUGCACUUCCUCUUUUCUUGUUAUUAUUACUCACUCUACUUUGUUUAAUACACAAUGAGGAUUUGGAGGUUUUCAUCUAUUGAUGUUCAAUCAAACAUGUCUCAUGUCGAAUUAAGAAACUGUUGCUUGGCACGGCACUUCAGGCGGGUCUAUGAGAUUUUGGGAAAUGUUCCUUUUUUUGGAUUGCAUGCAUUACUCAACUAAUAGGCUGUUUGACGGUUUUGUUCAUUAAUAUCUUACUAAUAUCUUUUUUUAUAGAUGUUCUUUAUUUAUUAUUUUGUGGUUUUACUUGUAAUUGGGGGAACUGGUAUGACUGUACACAACACAAAACAUUAAUGCUUACAUUUUUAUUUGGUUUUAUUGCAAGAUGUUUAUGUAUAUGGCAUUCCUGGUACUUCAUUUCCUAUAAAAUACUUCCUUUACCUGUACCGUGUCUAAGAAAAAUAGGGAAGGGCUGGAGGGGUGUACACACACUCACAUACAUACAAAAAGAGAUGAAAUAUAGUUUUUGUUGCUCACUAAUGUAUGUAGAGAUGUUUUGAUCACUUUUCCUUGUUGAAGUAUAGUUGGGACAUACAUUUUGGUGCGAAGGUACUUCUAGCCCAGCUUAUGGAGAGAGUAUAUGUGCCUGUUUCUUUCAUCUUCUGUUACAUUUCCUUUUUGUCUGGCCAUUUUAUCUUAUGGUUUUGAAUGCUUGCUUUACACCCGUGACGUUGAAAAUACACCAUUCAGAUGAUAUGCAUGCUUUCCCAGCAACCUUUGAUUGAAAAGGAGAGGCUCUAAGCUCUUACAUUUCUAACGUUUCUUUAUUGAAAAUUGGUAGUUAAACUCAGGGGAGGCCAAAUGGAUAUUGUAAGGUUUUAAAGGUACAAUACUUUUGAGUUUUACUUUGCAGUAUCCAUUAGGACAUGUAUGAAACUACUAACUUGGCCUUUGUUCUUGCCAUUCUUUACAAGAUGGCAGCAAGUGUUUAUACCUUGAUUAUUGUAGACAAAAUAAUUGUACAACAGGUAAUCUGCAUAUAAGACUACCUGAUACAUGAGUUGACUGUUGUUUACUGAUAAAGGAAAUUUCUAGGGAUUUCUCUUUGCAGUCAUUGUUCGUGAUGCUAUUACAACCAACCAGUUCGAAGGAAGCAAAUGUACUCUAAGUACUUCUAGUUUCUGACAAACAAAUAUAAAAUAUUGAAUUACACACAUUACUUUCUAAAGCUGUACUAUGUCUUGAUUGAUCUUUUUGUUUGCAUGUAUAGUCUGAAAGGCCAAAGAGGGUGUUGCAUUCUAUGAAAGAGUCUAUGCUAAGAAUCACCUCUGCGCUUUCCAAUGUCUCCUUCAAAAUUUCCAUUUUUGUUAUUUUUAGUACUCUUUCCGGUAUAACUCAAAAUGGCGAUCAAACAUGUUCUCUAUUGAGCUGACAAACUUGUGCUUGUUAUGACAUCUCAUGUCGGUCAUACUUUGGAGAAAGUUUCAUUUUAUGGUGUUUAUUCUCAGUAUCAGAAGGUUGUGGCUAAAUGAUGCUUACAGCCAUGAAAGCUUCUAUGCUUUUGAGCUGAUUCAUGUUUUGACCUGACAAUGUUCAGUUCCUUUCCCACCCCUCAUUGAAUCACCCUUUUCGUGAUAUUGCACAUGCACUCCCUCUUUUGUUGUUCUUAGUACUCACUCUGCUCCGUUUUAUGUACAUUGAAGAUUUUUAGAGGUUUUCAUCUGUCGACGUUCAAUCAAACAUAUUGCCUGUCCGGAUGUAGAAUUGUUGCUUGGCGCGACACUUCAAGUGGGUCUAUGAGAUAUUUUGAGAAGUUCCAUUUUUUGGUCUUUCUUCUCUGUCUCAUAGGCAAACUGAUGCUUGCAGCCAUGUUGGGUUUCAAAAAUUUUGAGCUAAUCAUGUUUGGGCAUCGCAAAUUCAAUUCAUUUGUCGCUAAAUCACCCUUUUUGUUGAACUACACAACCUUCUACUUUCUUGUUCUUAUAUUACUCUCUCUUGUAUAACUGAAGAAAAAUCAAUUUAGCAUGUUCUCUCUUGAGCUGAAAACUGUUGAUUGGCAUGGCAGCUCAGGUGGCUAUAUGAGAUUUCGGAGAAAGUUUCAUUUCAUGGUGCGUCUUCUCCGUCUCUUAAGGCUUACUGAGCCAUGACAGGCCGAUGCUCGCAGCCAUUCUAGGUGUCAAAGCUUUUGAGCUAAUCAUGUUUGGGUGUCGCGAAGUUCAAUAUUUUUGUCGCUAAAUCAUCCUUUUUUUGAAACUACACAACCAUCUUCUUUCUUGUUCUUAUUACUCUAUUGUAUUACUCAAUCAAGGCAAUUUAAUAUCUCUCUUGAGCUGAAAUACUGUUGCGUGGCAUCGCACCUCAUGUGGGUCAUGAGAUUUUGGGAGAAAGUUCCAUUUCAUGGUGCAUCUUCUUUGUAUCAUAAGGCUAUAACUGAUGCUUGCAGCCAUGAAAGAUUUUAAAGCAUUUGAGUUGGUUUUUGUUUUGGCUUAGCAAAAUUCAGUUUCCUCCCCCGCUCCCCCAAACCACUCUUUUCGUGAAAUCACACAUGACCUUCCUCUUUUUUUUAAAAAAAAAAAAAUUAUUCUCUCUGCUCCGUUUAUAAACCAUGAGGAUGUGGAGGUUGUCUUCCGUGGAAUUUCAAUAAUUCUUGUUUUCUCUCGAGCUCAUUAAAUGAUGCUUGACACCACUCUUCAGGUGGGUCUAUGAGAUUUUGGAAUUAAAUUUCCAUUUCAUGGUGUUUCUUCACUAUCUCACACGGCGAAUUGAUGCUUGUUGCCAUGACUGAUUUCAAUGCUUAUGAGCUAAUUGUGUUUGGGUUCGCGAAGUUCAUUUUUUUCUCUUACCAAAUCACCCUUUUGGUGAAAUUGCUCACGUCCUUCCAUUUUUCUAAUUUUUAGUAUUCUUUCCGGUAUAACUCAAAAGGGCAAUCAAACCUGUUCUCUCUUGAGCUGAAAAACUAUUGCUUGGCAUGGCAUCACAUUGGGAUUUGUGAGACUUUUGAAGAAGUAUUAUUUCUUGGUGUUUUUUCUGUGUCUCUCAAGGUUAACUAAUGCUUCCAGCCAUGACAUGUUUCUAUGCUUUUGAGUUGAGUUUAUUUCCCAUCCCUCACCGAAAAACCCUUCUUAUUGCACAUGCACUUCCUCUUUUCUUGUUCUUAGUACUCAGUCUGCUCCAUUAUGUACACAAUGAGGAUUUGGAGGUGUUCAUCCAUAAAUGUUCAAUCAAACAUGUCUCGUGACGAAGUAUAGAACUGUUGCUUGGCACAACACUUCGGGCGGGUCUAUGAGAUUUUGGGAAAUGUUCCAUUUUUUGGUCUUUCUUCUCUGUCUCAUAGGCAAACUGGUGCUUGCAGCCAAGCUGGGUUUCGAAGUAUUUGAGCUAAUCAUGUUUGGGCGUCGCAAAGUUCAAUUUUUUGGUCAGUAAAUCACCCUUUUUGAGAAAUUACACGACCUUCUACUUUUCUUGUUCUUAUAUUGCUAUCUCUUGUGUAACUCAAAAAAGCAAUUUAGCAUGUUCUCUUUUGAGCUGUAAAUCUGUUGAUUGGUGGCAGCUCAGGUGGGUGGAUCAGAUUUAGGAUAAGGUUCCAUUUCAUGGUGCAUCUUCUCUGUCUCUUGAGGCUGUCUGAUAUUUAGGAGAAAGAGAGCUGCAGCAGCACAUUUUAGAACCCACCACCUCAAAUACACCGAUCGCCUGUUUUCCUCCCAGAGCCUUCACAGGAUCAGCUCUUAAGAUGCCCAAUUCUAGCCUUCUUUUUAAGAAAAAGAUUUAGAACUUGGUAUCAAGAAAGAAACCUAAACACAUUUUCCCCUGUUCUUAUCUGCUGGAAAAUUCUUGCAAGCCUUUUUUAGAAAAAAUCAAGAAUUUUCAGGAACUUGGUAUCAAGAACUUUGCUUUUUGAAGUUACAUUGGUAUUCAAAAAUACAUAUUUUCAGGAAAUCAAGAAUUUUUCAGGAACUUGGUACAAAGAACUUUGCUUUUUGAAGUUACAUUGGUAUUCAAAAAUACAUAUUUUCAGGAAAUCAAGAAUUUUUGCAUGAAUGCUCUUUAAAAAAAUUCUUGAAUUUGUUGGCAUAUUUUAAGGAAAUUGUAGUUUUCAAGAAUAUAUUGGUAUUGUACAUACAAGAAAUCCUUUUUGAAAAUAUUAUGUUGUUAUUCUUGCAAUGUGUGUUAAGGAUGUUCAAGAUUUUGUUUUUACCUUUUUAGUGAGAUUGGUAUCAUUAAGUGAAUACCUCAGGCUAUUUGGAGCUUCACCCAGUUUCCAUCAGGUAUAUGUUGCUAUAGGCAUUGGUACCUGCUAUGGUAUGGUGGAUGGCAAUGGCAACUGUUAGUUUUUUCGACAUUGAUCUAAUGCACUUUGAUGUGCAAACAAAGUGAGCCCUAAUAUGAUAGAGACAAGUAUUAGAGAAGGACGGGUCCUCAAUCCUGCCAUAAGGAAUAUGAAUGUUGAAGAGAAUAAGCUUAUGGUGGCUAGUUGAUUCUUAAUGUUUACUUGUAAGAUUGGGGCCCCAUAAGGUACUAUCGAGAAUAUCUGGACUGGAAGUAACUCUCGAUAUACCUGUGAAUUAUGAGAUCAGGAAAAAGAGGUGCAGGCCCAGAGUUGCAAAGAGAAACUGAACUUCCUUUCCCGCAGCCAAAGAAACUGACUGGAUAGUGCACUGUCAGGAGAGAGAUUUGAUCUUCACAGAAUAUUAUGUGGGGAAGUGCUUCUGAAAAGCAUGAUCCCGAGUCCAAAUUCCCCUUGUCAGAUCAAAAGUUCAAGUCGGUCAAUCGAUAGCUCUCUUGCUCAUUGCAGAGUCUGUCUGAAUUGGAUAUCCAGAAGCUCUGUGCAACCCCUUUCAUCUUUACAGAGGAUAAUUUCCUGGAUAAGAAAUUCAUUGCUUCAGAUAGAUUCAAACAGUUAUAGCUUACAGAUCAAGCUUCAUUUAUGCGAUCAGGGAGAGGUUGCUGCAUUAGAGAAGGAAACCAUUUAUGCGGAGCCCUAUGCACAGAAGUCUGACCCCUGAUGGAUCAUCCUUUGAUAGUGAUGAAGAUACUAAGUUUGAAAUAUGUCCCCUGGAUUGUCAGAAACUUCUCCAACUCAGAUCAAGGUAUUGCACGGGGACUGGAGGCAUAAUAGUCGUGACACAUGCAAGUUGACCUGAACAUCACCCUCGGAAUUUUAUUUUUUAUUUUUUUGCAGAGAGAGAGAGAUAAGGCAGGUUUGGUUGAUUUGCAUCAUAAUUCAGAUUCCUGCUGCUCUGUUUUGGUAGGAUCAGCUUGUUCAGGUUUUUCUACUCUUUUUGCCUUUUGGCGAUGUGGUUUCUACUUUCACGUUUUCCUGAUUUAAUCGGCUUUUGAGGAACUCUAACUGUGCUUAGGAGGUUGAUGACCAACUUACAAAAAAUUUAUAAUGUAUUCUCAUAGUAUUUGUUAAUGAAGUCCUAAUUAAAUUCGUCCAACAAAUGGGAAUAACACCCCGAUUAUUAAAUGUUGUUUUUAUCUAUUCUAUUCGAUGGGGAACUUUAGGAGUUCUUCAUUUUGCUUUUAAGUGCUAUAUUGUGGAUUCUUUGUUGACAUUAAGAAGGGAAGAGCAUAAACUCAAUAUGUUUUGUUAAACGGUAGCCUCUUCCAAUAUUUGCCUUUUCUCUUUUUCUUUGAUCCUUUUUUCGAUGUUGACAGUAGUAAAAUCAUCUUUCUCCCUCAAGAAUUGGAGCUUGAGGUGCUGCUACCACAUUCCAACAAUUACAUAUCAAACUUCUUCAGAAUCUUUGCAUUCAUAAUCUAGAUCAGAAGUACUCUUGAGUCUUGAACUUGUUGCUUAUAAUUCAAAUAUCUGAUUUCAAUAGUAGGUUUAAUACAUGGAUAUAGAAGCCAACCAACUGAAGAAAAUUAAACGUGUGUGGCUGUGUUUGUUUGUAAAACAUCAUGUACAGUAGUAUCUGAUGGAUGUUUUGGACACUACUUUGGUUAUGGUAUGGAGUACCUGAGGGGCUUUGCAGCUUUGUGGGGUUCUUUGAGGGAUUCAGGGAUGCACAAUUUCACUCCUAUUCAUCUGUUCAUUCCAAUUGCCUAAAGCUCUUGUGAAUAUACUUACAAAUUCAAAUUCUGUAGUUCCUUGACUUCAAAUAUGUUCUCUUUGAAGCAUUAUUCGAGAUCAAUAAUCUCAUUUGUUGAGUUUAUCUGUAUUUCUUCUUCAGAUUUAAGUGUACCUGAAGAGCACGGUAAUCCACGUGGCAAUACUAUUUACGUAUACUAAAUCUAUUUGGUGCCUAUUUUAAUCUGCAUUAUAUUUUUAAAAAUUGCUGGCUAACAAUUUUGUGGGAAAAAUACUUUAACACUUGCUAUUUUGAUGGUAAUAUAGUUUAGUGCUUUUUAGAAUCAAUUGGACUUAGUUGGGAGUGGAAAACAAAUCUCUACGAGGAAAGAAUGUUUGACCAAGGAAAAUCAUAUGUUAGGCACUGACCUAUUCAACAACAAGAAACAGAACGUCUUCAGCUAGACUACACUUGUGUUGGGAGGGGGAGGUCAAGUGAUGAUCUCACUGCAUAUGGACUCAUAUCUGAAUUUUUGAGGUGGUUUCCAGUUUUAGUGAGUUUAUCUUUACUGAUGAGUAUCAUCUUGUUCAGGUUUGUCUACUGUUUUUGCCUUUUUGCGUUGUAGUUUCUAGUUUCACAUUUAGAUGAUUUAAUCGGCUUUUUUGGAACUCCAACUGUGCUUAGGAGGUUGAUUACCAACCUUAAAAUAGUCAUAUCGUGAUGAUUCCUCAUAGUAUUUGUUGAGAUGAUGUCCUAAUGAAAUUGUCCCAACAAGAGUGAAAUACACCUGACUUUUAAAUGUGGUUUCGAACAAUGAUUGGAUGGGGAACUUUAGGAGUUUGUUUGUUUUGCUUUAGGUGCUAUCGUGGACUGUUAACUGCUGACAUUAAGAAGGGAAGUAAACUCACGAUGUUCUGUUAAAGGAAAAAAGGGAAAGAGAAGAAGUAGAAGCCGCUCUUGAUAAAAGAAAAUGAUACUCCAUUCUGAUGCACUGUAUCAAAAUCAGUCAAUUUACUGCUAAACAAUUUGUUUUGAUGUUACAUGUCAACUCACCGAGAAUGCACUUCGAGUUGUUGUUGAGGAAGGCAUUGCCAAAAGCACUGGUGCACGAGGCUCAAGAUCUAUACUAGAAAGUAUUGUGACUGAAGCCAUGUUUGAGGAUGUUGACUUAAAUGUCGAAGCAACUCAGCAAGGGGUUGUCUACAUAGAUGAAGUUGAUAAAUAGCCAAAAAGUUCAAAAAUUAUUAUCUACAUGGAUAUGGAUAAUCGACUUUGAAGUCAUCCUUAUAAUUAGUCACCUGUUUAGGCUGAGAGCCUUAACAUUUGCAGAGAUGUAUCCGAGGAGGAUGUCCAACAGGCGCUGCUGAAGAUGCUUGAAGGAACUAGUGUAAGUGCACCUGACAAUAGAGCAUAGAAGCUUCCACGUGGCGAUACUAUUCAGGUAGAAAGUGAUGAUCUCACUGCCUAUGGACUUAUACCUGAAUUUGUGGCACGGCUUCCAGUUUUAGUGAGUUGUAUUCCAUAGAUAAGGAUCAGCUUGUGCAGGUUCAUGGAAGCAAACCAGGCAAGGAAGCUGUAGAGGUUGUCUUGGUUGAUGAAGAGGCUGUCGGAACAGCUAAUGCAGUUGGAUGUGGAGCAAAAGUUCUUUGUGGUAGCAGUCGGCUGGAGAAUAUUUCCCCUCCAUACUGGAUUAACAAUGACAAUGAUUGUAAGCGUACCUGACAAUAGAGUACAGAAGCAUCCACGAGGUGAUACUAUUCAAGUAUACUGAAUCUAUAAAAGCCUCUCUUGUCUACUUUUUAUAUUUAAAAAUUGCAGGCUAACAAUUUUGUGGGAAAAACACUUACAACUUGCUAUUUGGACGGUAAUAUAGUUUAGUGCUUUUUAGGCUCAAUUGGAUUAAGUUGGGGAUGAAAAAAAAUCUCUGCGAGGAAAGAAAAUUUGGCCAAGGAAAAUCAGAUGUCAGGCACUGACCUAUUCAACAGCAAGAAACAGAACGUCUUCAGCUAGACUACACAUGUUGGGAGGAGGGGGAGGUCAAGUGAUGAUCUCACUGCAUAUGGACUCAUAUAAUUUGUCAGGCGGUUUCCAGGUUGUAGCUUCACUGGAUGAGGAUCAUCUUGUUCAGGUUUGUCUACUAUUUUUGCCUUUCUGCAAUGUCGUUUCUAGUUUCACGUUUUCAUGUUUUCAUGAUUUAAUCGGCCUUUUGGGAACUCCAACUGUGCUUAGGAGGUUGAUAGCCAAACUCAAUAUGUUCUGUUAAAGGUAACCUCUUCCAAUAUCUGCCUUUUCUAUAUUUCUUUGAUCCUUUUUUCCAUGUUGACAUCAGUAAAAUCAUCUUUAUUCCUCUAGGUUUGGAGCUUGAGGUGCUGCUGCCGCCUGCCAACAAUUACAUUGUCAAACUUUUUCAAAUAAACCUCCAUUUUUUUUGGAUUAUUUGCAUUUAUAGUCUAGAUCAGAAGUAUCUUGAACUUGUAGCUUCGUAUUCAAAUAUUUGAUUUUAGUACCUUGACCUAGUUAAAUGCUAAAAUCUUACAAUAGUAGGUUUAUACAUUGAUAGAGAAGCCAACAAACUUAUGAAGAUGAAAAGUGUAAGGCUGUAUGUUUGUAAAACAUCAUUUACACCUGUUGUGAAAAGUCUUUUUGAGGUUCAACUUGCAUGCCUUAAGAAAUUAUUUGGUUAUGAUUUUUGGACACUCGGGGAAAGGAAAAAAAUAUGUAUAGGUCACUUGAAAAUGAAAGAGAAUAUUUGAAGUUUAUGUUCUCUUUUGCUUUCACAUUUCAUAUUGUUUCUUAUACUCACAUUGCUCCUGUCUUGGAACUAGAAGCUUCUUAUUGACCCUACUAAAAUGAUUGUAGUCUUUUCAUAAUGCAUUUUGAUGUGCAGAAAGGUCUGCUCAAUUUUAUUAUUUUACUUCAUCACAUGAAGUUGUACUUUCUAUUGGGAUCUGGUGUCUCACGAGAUGUACUGGUGCUGCUGAUGGAAGAAAGAUAUGUGAAGAUGACCUGCUUUUCACACGUGCUUCUCCUUCUCCUUGCUGCUGUUGUCCAAUGGGUUUGGGAUUCACCUGAGUUCCUUUAACAAAAGCGUUGUUGCAUUCAAGCUUUUUCUGGUCCUGAUGUUUACACAGUGAUGACAGUGAAGGUAUACAUGCCCAAAUUGAUGGAUAAAGAGAUGUGAUGAGUCAUCUUUUCUACACUUUGUUGUUCCUCUCUAAUUUCUUGAAAUUCCUGUAGAAACUUUUUGCAUACAUUGGUCACGGUUGUUAAUAAGUUUGUGAUGUUUUUUCCACUGCACCACGUGAAGAAUAUUUGUCUAUUCACAAUCAUGGGAUGUAUAAUUUUUUUGAUAACCGAGAAAUCUGUUUGUGACCCACCCUUUGGACCAA